UACGAAGGGGGCUAGCGUUGCUCGGAAUUACUGGGCGCAAAGGGAGCGUAGGCGGACAUUUAAGUCAGGGGUGAAAUCCCAGAGCUCAACUCUGGAACUGCCUUUGAUACUGGGUGUCUUGAGUGUGAUAGAGGUAUGUGGAACUCCGAGUGUAGAGGUGAAAUUCGUAGAUAUUCGGAAGAACACCAGUGGCGAAGGCGACAUACUGGAUCAUUACUGACGCUGAGGCUCGAAAGCGUGGGGAGCAAACAGG
rnacentral:rRNA from 1 species